AAUAAUAUUAACUCUCAGCUAUUCACUUUUAACAUCGAAUGUACAUGGUGUCCAUAAAUUGAAAAGUUCGAUGGGAAUAUUAAUAUGUGGACCAUUUAAAA